AAAGCACGUGUUUUGGCGUGCUUGUGAACGUUUUUUCCAAAUAUCAAUCCGCGUGGAGUGUGCCGCCGCAGGUUACAGUUUACAGCUGAGCUGCGGCACUCCGGCCGGGCUAAAGCGGAGCGAGCCCAACCGUGCCAGGCACAGUGAACUUCUCCCCCCCUCCUUUAGUCCGGUGGUGUUUUUGUUACGGUCCACGAGGCCGAACAAGGUAAACAGUUUCUACUCGCUGGCUGGAACUAAGCAAACAGGUGGAGCGAUAGCAGACACAGUCACUGAAAGACGCACAAUGAAGCCAACCAGGCCUUGAGAUGGCUUCUGAGAGGAGAAUACAAAGGGCCACGAGCCAGCCCGAGCCCCGGGACCCUGCUGGUGAAGGAGGCAGGGAUAAUGCGGUCCAUCCCGGGGGCCGCAUUUCAACACAUGGACCUGGCUUUGUGCUCCGGCAGCACGAGAACCCUUCAGAACGGCGGGGACACACGCCCAGCGGAGGGGAGGAUGCCUGACGACGGGAGGAUAAAGGAGACAUUGGGGUGGGGGGGGGAGUGAGGCAGCACAAAAAAGGCCCAAAUGUUGUUCCUCGUGCUGUGAACAUAUGGCUGUUUGUUGUCAUACUCUUCCUCCCUGUCCAAUUUACACGGAGCGAGUGAGCUUCGAGUAGGCCUCUACCUGAAUGAUGAUGAGGAGGCCCGAACGCUGCUAAUGGCCGGCGUAUAAUCCCCCGCCGUCUGCACACACCUCCUGACAUAUGGUCACUCCUCAGCCUCUGCCGUUACGUAAGCGCCACAGAGAUGGGUGAGGGAGGCAGGAGGAGGGGGGCGGUUGCGGUGAAAUGUGGCACUUUCUCACCCAGAGCGGCCGCUCUGUCGGGCCCGGCUGCUCUGCGCUCUCAGCGGUUUGCGCUUUGCCCGUCACUCCUCUCCUCUCCUCUCCGCCCUGCCCCUUCUUCAGGGGUUUGUAAAGAAUAAAUUGGAGCUUCUGGGACGAGGAGCGCUCCGCUUCUCCGCGUACAGAUGGACCCCUCCAUUCAAUAAGCUCAAGCAGAAGUCUGUCCCCACGCCAUGCCAGAACCACAGAGCUUGUUUUGUCUUCUGAAGAGGGCAAUCUGUUGAUGCAACAUAUUGGGUUUUUUUUUUUUUCUUCUCCGGACGCUCCUUUUUGAUCGGAGCUCUGUCUGAAAUAUUGGGACACUCAGGUUUGAAUAACCUGCUUUUGCCAGAAUCACAUGUAGAAAUUGGACAGCCUGAAUGGAGCAAACUCUUGAGGUUUGUGCAAAAAUCUGGAGAAAAAGGCUCCAAAAUACAGAUAUAAUCCAAAUAAACUGCCAGGAAACAGUACGAAAACUUAGGAAAAACCAUCUUUUCUUGUCUAUUUAAAAAUGAAAUCUCUAUCAAUUAAAAGGCAUUCCAGUUAAAGUCAUUUUAAAAGUAAAAAUGUAGGAAAGAAGUCAAUAAGGACACAUUACCGUCUUCAACACAGGGAAUAAUGCAAUCCAAAUAAACCUCUUUUGAGUGAAUAGUUUCAUUUAUGACUGAUUUUGACAAUUUUUUAAUCUAUUGGUUCAAGAAAAUAAAAUUUUUAACUUUAAAAACUUAUAUAAACUUUAGCCAACAGCUUCCGUUACAUGUUACCCACAAGAUGUUAGAAAAGUGCCUGAUUUUUCUAUAAUGUGGUUAAAUUUAACACAUUAUUACGACUUAAAGUAUUCCUUUUUAUCCAAAUGCAAACACGUUUUCGCCAAUUUUCCGCCCUUUAGCUAUAUGGAAAGAGACCAAGCAGAAAUUGACAAAAUGCUGGAUGAAGAUGGCGACGAACAUGUGGUUCUAGUCGCAACUUUGGUUAUUGACCCCCUAGAGAAAAUAAUGAUCUUUUAACCUAAUUCACCUCAUUUAACAGGAGCAUAACAACAACCAUACACUACUGUUGAAAGUCUUGUAAGACCUGUACAAAAAAAUCACUUUUUUCUUUCAAUUUUAGCU